AGCAGUCGUCAAAGGCCUGAACCCACAAGCCUCAUUACACCUUGACUUAUUCCGAGCACCAGACCUAAAUGGGAUAGUUUUGUUUUCCGGCUUUUUUGUUUUUCGGUGUGAGUUUGUGAGCUUGUAACCGUUCGAAAUUUUGUGCUUUAAGUUUUUGUUGGACAAGUCGCUGCCAUGUUUCACCAUGAAUUCGAACGAGAUCAGUGCAUCAUCGAGGAAUACCAAAGACGCCCCAAAAACGAUGUCCUCCAAUGGUAGUGGUGCGGUGGACGGCGUAAGUCCUUGUCAUCUGGCCGCAACUGCGGUUGUUUCCACUGCCAGAGGAGGCGUCAGAGAAACGAGCAGAGGACAUAAGGCUAUCCGUGUAUUUUUGGAUCACCACGGUGGUUAGGAAAUCGCGUUGCUCUAAAACUCGCUAAUCCUGGCCACUGCAAAAAUUAACUUUUCGAUGAACACAUUUUUGGGAGCUAUUAUUGGAUUCAGAUUAUAAUAGCUCUCAUAUGCUGGGAUACCCAACACUGGGAUAUCCUACACUGGGUAACCUAUACUUUGGUACCCUAUACCUUGGUACCCUAUAAUUUGGUACCCUAUAGUUGGAUACCCUUCACUUGGAUGCCCUACACUUGGAUACCAUACACUUGGAUACCCUACCCUUGGAUACCCUACCCUUGGAUACCCCAAAGCUUGGAUACCCCAAAGCUUGGAUACCCCAAAUAUGGAUAACGAUUGACUAGGAUUCGAAAUAUAUAGGAUAGGUUUCUAGGAUUAACUUGGAUACCCCAUAUUUGACUGUUAUUAGGACGGCUGUUCCCAAACUCAAGAAUGAAUAGAUUAUUUAAAACGUCAAUCUACGUUGAUUAAUUAAAGACUUUAAUAAGCGUC
rnacentral:lncRNA from 1 species